rnacentral:rRNA from 1 species
AUACGAAGGUCCCAAGCGUUAUUCGGAAUCACUGGGCGUAAAGAGUACGUAGGCGGUUUGGUAAGUCAGGUGUGAAAUCCCGAAGCUCAACUUCGGAACUGCAUCCGAUACUGCCAGACUAGAGUAAUGGAGAGGCAGGUGGAAUUCUCGGUGUAGCAGUGAAAUGCGUGGAUAUCGAGAGGAAGACCAAUGGCGAAGGCAGCCUGCUGGACAUUUACUGACGCUGAGGUACGAAGGCUAGGGGAGCGAAAGGGAUUAGAAACCCUGGUAGUCC